CUGACCGAAGAGCUCCGUCAGGUGUUCAGGGAGCAGUGUGACCCACAGGAGUGCACGUGCCUUCUGAAACAGGCAGCACCCACAGAGGCAGUGGAAAGCAACGUUGAGGAAGACAUAAAGUAAUUUCAGGAGAGUCUAGUGCUGUAUAACAUAAGCUCAGGAAAUUGUUUCAAUGCAUACUAAACCCUCAAAUGAAAAUAUUCCCAUGUAAAAUUUUCUAAUCCCUUGCAACCCUCUGUGGAAGAGGAAAAGCAAGGGCAGAUUCAAAAUCUCUGCUGGACUGAAGCACUCAAUUCCUGACUGUUAGGCAGUUGGCUAACUCAUCUAAUUCAAGUAUGCA